CCUGGUUGAUCCUGCCAGUAGUCAUAUGCUUGUCUCAAAGAUUAAGCCAUGCAUGUGUAAGUACAGGCCGACUUAAGGCGAAACCGCGGACGGCUCAUUAAAUCAGAUAUAACUCAUUGGAUCUCUGCUGAACCGCAUUACUUGGAUAACUGUGGUAAUUCUAGAGCUAAUACAUGCCUUUGUAGUCUCCGACCGCGAGGGAGGAGCGCUUUUAUUAGACCAAAACCCUCGGCAGCCGGUUCCCGCAAGGGGCCGGCCGCACACAUCUUGGUGAAUCAGAAUAACUUUUGCCGAGCGCACGACCCCUCCCGUAACCCGGGUUGGGUCGGCGCCGCGUCCUGCAGGCGUCUGCCUUAUCAGCUCUCGAUUGUAGGUUAAACGCCUACAAUGGCUAUCACGGGUAACGGGGAAUCAGGGUUCGAUUCCGGAGAGGGAGCCUGAGAAACGGCUACCACAUCUAAGGAAGGCAGCAGGCGCGCAAAUUACCCACUCCCGGCACGGGGAGGUAGUGACGAAAAAUACUGUUGCGAGCCCCGAACGGGGCCUCGCAAUUGGAAUGAGUACACUUUAAAUCCUUGUACGAGGAUCGAGUGGAGGGCAAGUCUGGUGCCAGCCGCCGCGGUAAUUCCAGCUCCACUAGCGUAUAUUAAAGUUGUUGCGGUUGAAACGCUCGUAGUUUGACUUCUGCUCCGGACCGGCGGUCCGCCUUAGCGGCGGCUACUGCCGGGUUCCGAGCUGUGUCCCCGCCGGCGCACAUGGGGUUUUUAUGCCCUUAACCGGGUGUCCCCUUGUGGCCGGCACGUUUACUUUGAAAAAAUUAGAGUGCUCAGAGCAGGCUGGUUUUUGCUUACAGCCCGAAUGGUCGUGCAUGGAAUGAUGGAACAGGACCUCGGUUCUAUUUUGUCGGUUUUUCGGAACCCGAGGUAAUGAUUAAUAGAAGCAGACGGGGGCAUUCGUACUGCGACGCUAGAGGUGAAAUUCUUAGACCGUCGCAUGACGACCUACUGCGAAAGCAUCUGCCAAGGAUGUUUUCAUUGAUCAAGAACGAAAGUUAGAGGUUCGAAGGCGAUCAGAUACCGCCCUAGUUCUAACCUUAAACGAUGCUGACUAGCGAUCCGCCGCAGUUAUUCCCAUGACCCGGCGGGUAGCUUCCGU
rnacentral:rRNA from 1 species